GAUGAACGCUGGCGUCGUGCCUAAUACAUGCAAGUCGAGCGAACAGACGAGGAGCUUGCUCCUCUGACGUUAGCGGCGGACGGGUGAGUAACACGUGGAUAACCUACCUAUAAGACUGGGAUAACUUCGGGAAACCGGAGCUAAUACCGGAUAAUAUAUUGAACCGCAUGGUUCAAUAGUGAAAGACGGUUUUGCUGUCACUUAUAGAUGGAUCCGCGCCGCAUUAGCUAGUUGGUAAGGUAACGGCUUACCAAGGCAACGAUGCGUAGCCGACCUGAGAGGGUGAUCGGCCACACUGGAACUGAGACACGGUCCAGACUCCUACGGGAGGCAGCAGUAGGGAAUCUUCCGCAAUGGGCGAAAGCCUGACGGAGCAACGCCGCGUGAGUGAUGAAGGUCUUCGGAUCGUAAAACUCUGUUAUUAGGGAAGAACAAAUGUGUAAGUAACUAUGCACGUGUUGACGGUACCUAAUCAGAAAGCCACGGCUAACUACGUG
rnacentral:rRNA from 1 species